UUUGACAAUGGGGGAAACCCUGAUCGACCGACGCCGCGUGGAGGAUGAAGGUCUUCGGAUUGUAAACUCCUGUCAUUGGGGAACAAAUCGCUUACGUUAACUGCGUGACGUUGAUAGUACCCGAAGAGGAAGAAACGGCUAACUCUGUGCCAGCAGCCGCGGUAAUACAGAAGUCUCAAGCGUUGUUCGGAUUCAUUGGGCGUAAAGGGUGCGUAGGCGGCGCGGUAAGUCGGGUGUGAAAUCUUGGAGCUUAACUCCGAAACUGCAUUCGAUACUGCCGUGCUUGAGGACUGGAGAGGAGACUGGAAUUUACGGUGUAGCGGUGAAAUGCGUAGAUAUCGUAAGGAAGACCAGUGGCGAAGGCGGGUCUCUGGACAGUUCCUGACGCUGAGGCACGAAGGUCAGGGGAGCAAACGGGAUUAGAUACCCCGGUAGUCCUGACAGUAAACGGUGCACGUUUGGUGUGGGAGGAUUCGACCCCUUCUGCGCCGGAGCUAACGCGUUAAACGUGCCGCCUGGGGAGUACGGUCGCCAGAUUAAAACUCAAAGAGAUUGACGGGCGGCCCGCGCGACGAAGGAGUAUGUGGCUCAUUUCAAUGCCUCGCGAAGAACCUUACCAGGCCUUGACAUGCAUUGCUAAGUUGGUUGAAAGCCAGCGACUGGAGCAAUCCAGACCUUGCACAGGUGCUGCAUGGCUGUCGUCAGCUCGUGUCGUGAGAUGUUGGGUUAAGUCCCGCAACGAGUGCAACCCCUGUGAACUGUUGCCACCGAGCCGUGAGGUUCGAGCACUUUGUUCAGACUGCCCCGCUCUAACGGGGAGGAAGGUGGGGACGACGUCAAGUCAGUAUGGCCCUUACGGCCUGGGCUGCACACGUACUACAAUGCCCAGUACAGAAUGAUCCAAGACCGCGAGGUGGAGGAAAUCACUAAAACUGGGCCCAGUUCAGAUUGAAGUCUGCAACUCGACUUAAAGAAGCCGGAAUCGAU
rnacentral:rRNA from 1 species